GAUGAACGCUGGCGGCGUGCCUAAUACAUGCAAGUCGAGCGAACAGACGAGGAGCUUGCUCCUCUGGCGUUAGCGGCGGACGGGUGAGUAACACGUGGAUAACCUACCUAUAAGACUGGGAUAACUUCGGGAAACCGGAGCUAAUACCGGAUAAUAUAUUGAACCGCAUGGUUCAAUAGUGAAAGACGGUUUUGCUGUCACUUAUAGAUGGAUCCGCGCCGCAUUAGCUAGUUGGUAAGGUAACGGCUUACCAAGGCAACGAUGCGUAGCCGACCUGAGAGGGUGAUCGGCCACACUGGAACUGAGACACGGUCAAGACUCCUACGGGAGGCAGCAGUAGGGAAUCUUACGCAAUGGGCGAAAGCCUGACGGAGCAACGCCGCGUGAGUGAUGAAGGUCUUCGGAUCGUAAAACUCUGUUAUUAGGGAAGAACAAAUGUGUAAGUAACUAUGCACGUCUUGACGGUACCUAAUCAGAAAGCCACGGCUAACUACGUG
rnacentral:rRNA from 1 species